rnacentral:sRNA from 1 species
GGGUGUGUUGGCCAUAUGGCUGCAAAAUUUGCUGCCCCACCAAUUGCUAGGGUUCACUAGGCUGAUGUAGCUGGCUAGGCAGGUGUCCUCUUCCUCCCUCACCACUCCAUGCACAUCCUCCCAAAACUGCAUACCUGGUUGAUGACGAGGACAGCCUUCUCUGAUGGAGUAGGACUGAUCUUUAGAAGAACUGCAGGUGGGUUCCUUGGCCCCCCUGUCCUCUGUUAGCACCUGAGAUGGUCCCACCCCAGGCUGUCAGGCUGGCAUC